CCCUUAGAUGUUCUGGCCGCACGCGCGCUACACUGAUGCAUUCAACGAGUCUAAAACCUGCUCUGAUAGGGGUGGGUAAUCUUUUGAAUGUGCAUCGUGAUUGGGAUAGAUGAUUGCAAUUUUUCAUCUUCAACGAGGAAUGCCUAGUAAACGCAAGUCAUCAGCUUGCAUUGAUUACGUCCCUGCCCUUUGUACACACCGCCCGUCGCUCCUACCGAUUGAAUGAUCCGAUGAAUAUCAUGGAUUGAGGAUGCAAGUAGGUUAGCCUAUCUUCAUCUUCGAGAAGUGAAGUAAAUCUUAUCAUUUAGAGGAAGGAGAAGUCGUAACA
rnacentral:rRNA from 1 species